AGAGAGAGAGAGAGGUGCGGUGUCUUGCAAUGUAAAUUUGAUAUACCAUAUUAAGGAAAACGGUGACUGCAGAAGUGUGUGUGUGUGUGUGUGUGUGUGUGUGUGUGUGUGUGUGUGUGUGUGUGCAUUGCGGGCCAACCAGUCUUUCACCCCUUCCCCCCUCCUCACCCCCUCCUCUCACCACUUUCAACCACCCCUAUAUCUUCAUCACACACCUGAACAAUUACUUUAAAAUUCUUCACCUUCUCGCUGGAUCCGCCGUGCCAAACCUUGUCAUGUUCACGUAUACGGUAUAUAUUUUUGAAGCCGUAAAAGCGAGUCGUAUAUCCUCAAAACUUUGCAUAUGUUCUUUUUUUUUCGUUUACGUUUUUCAUAACACCCCAACAUACGUCCUGCCUGCCUAACCUUCUAAUUUUGACACACAUCUAUAAUUUUGAAUUCGUAAAAUCGAUUCGUAUAACCCCAAAUUUUAGCAUGUGUUCUUUGUUAUGUUCUAUCUGCCAAACCUUAUACUUAUGACACGUGUAUGUUUUUUUAGAACCAUGAAAUCGAAUCGUAUAUCUUCAAAACUUAGCAUGUGAUUUUUUUUCUCGUUUUCUUUUGCCGUAACUCUCCCCAACACGUGUCCUACCUGUUAAACCACCUAAUUUUGACAUUAUAUAUUUUUUAAAACCAUGAAAUUGAAUAGUAUAUCUUCAAAACUUAGCAUGUGAUCUUUUUCCUCGUUUUCUUUUGCCGUAACUCUCCCCAACACGUGUCUUAACCUGUUAAACCACCUAAUUUUGACAUGUAUAUAUUUCUUAAAACCAUGAAAUCGAAUCGUAUCUCUUCAAAACUUAGCAUGUGAUCUUUUUAUUCGUUUUCUUUUGCCAUAACUUUCCUUCUUGCCAAACCUUUUCAUACUGACAAGUCUAUAUCUUCUGAAACCGUGAAACCGAUUCGUAUAGCUCUGGGAUCUUUGUAUAUGUGUUCUGAUUCUUUUCCAUUUAACUUUUCUUUCCUCUUUUAUUUGCCUUUAGUUCACCUUUACUUAUGUUCUGCCUUGCUAAUCCUUUUGAUGUGGACUCGAACUCUCUUUAGAAAUGAAGAAAUCGAUUCGUAUAUCUUAAAGAGUUAGCAAGUGAUCUUUUCUUUCUCUUUCUUUUACAAUGCCUCACCCACCCAUAUUUCCUGGCGUGUCAAACCUCCUAAUUCUCACUCGUACAUAAUUUUAGACCGUGAAAUCGAUUCGUAAAGCUCUGGGAACGCAUUAGGACGUGUUUUCUUCUCCUUUUUCAUUUACCAUAUCUCACACAUAUGCUCACUUCCAAACCUUCUAAUGCGACCUCGAACCCUUUUAAGAAAUGGAGAGAUCGAAUCGAAUAGCUUAAAAAUGUAUUAGUAUUUUUUUUACAGCAAAGGAGACAGAUCAAGGGCUUAAAAAAGGAGAAAACUAAUAAAAAAAAAAAGCACGCUACUGACUGCCCCUAAAUAGAUUGGAGUUUUUUUUUUUUUUUUUUUUUUUUUUUUUUUUUUUUAGCUCAUCUUAACGUAUGUUCUCCCAGUAUUCUAAACGUUCUAAUGCUGAUUCGUACAUACUUCUGAAACCGGGAGAUUGAUUCGCAUAGUUUAAGGACCCCCUGUAAUCGCCCCCCUUAAAGCCUAUUGAUUAUAUAUUUCUUAGCGUUCUCUUGUUUUUUUCCGUUGACCAUAUCGUUCGCCCACAUUCACUUCAAGUUUCCAUCGCUGUCUUGCACACUCUUUAAGCACUGAGAGGUCGAUUUGCACAGCUUACGGCGAAUUUGGUUGUGUUUCCCUUUCCUCUUUCACUUAUUUUAUUUUAGUCCACCUACGCGCGGUCAGUCUUCCCCGAACUUUCUUUUGCUGACUUGGCACUCUUUAGGAACCGCUAUAGCCUGCCUAAGACGUAUUGAAAGAUGCUGUACUUUAUUUUCACGUUUUCUUUUGCAACCUUUGGAACUGGUAUAGGUUUUAAGGCUUACUGGAUGGGUCUUUUCUUUAUACAUUUGUUUUCGUAUGCAUCUUUUAGUAACUGGUAUAGGUUUUAAGGCUUAUUGGAUGGUGCUUUUCUUUAUACAUUUGUUUUCGUAUGCAUCUUUUAGUAACUGGUAUAGGUUUUAAGGCUUAUUGGAUGGUGCUUUUCUUUAUACAUUUGUUUUCGUAUGCAUCUUUUAGUAACUGGUAUAGGUUUUAAGGCUUUCUGGAUGGUGCUUUUCUUUAUACAUUUGUUUUCGUAUGCAUCUUUUAGUAACUGGUAUAGGUUUUAAGGCUUACUGGAUGGGUCUUUUCUUUAUACAUUUGUUUUCGUAUGCAUCUUUUAGUAACUGGUAUAGGUUUUAAGGCUUUCUGGAUGGUGCUUUUCUUUAUACAUUUGUUUUCGUAUGCAUCUUUUAGUAACUGGUAUAGGUUUUAAGGCUUUCUGGAUGGUGCUUUUCUUUAUACAUUUGUUUUCGUAUGCAUCUUUUAGUAACUGGUAUAGGUUUUAAGGCUUACUGGGUGGUGCUUUUCUUUAUACAUUUGUUUUCGUAUGCAUCUUUUAGUAACUGGUAUAGGUUUUAAGGCUUAUUAGAUGGGUCUUUAUUUUAUUGCUGUAUCCGCCUUUUGAGAACUGGUAUUGGUUUUAAGACGUAUUGGAUGGUGUUAUUCUGUAUUCUUUUGUUUUCUUAUACACCUUUUAGAAUCUGUUAUAGGUUUCAAGACGUAUUGGUUGGUCCUAUUUUUUAUUAUAUUAUUGUAUGCACCUUUUGAGAACUGAUAUAGGUUUUAAGACGUUUUGGAUGGUGUUGUUCUAUCGUCUUUUGUUUCUUAUACGCCUUUUGAGAACUGGUAUAGAUUUUAAGACGUUUUGGAUGGUGUUAUUCUAUCGUCUUUUGUUUCUUAUACACCUUUUAGUAACUGGUAUAGGUUUUAAGACGUUUUGGAUGGUGUUAUUCUAUCGUCUUUUGUUUUCUGAAUCACCUUUUAAUGACUGAUGUAGAUUUGGAGACGUUUUGAUGGUGUUAUUCUCUAUUAAUUUGUUUUUCGUAUGCACCUUUUAGUAACUGGCAUAACUUUUAAGACGUACUGAAAGGUGGUAUAGUUUCGCUUCUUGUUUUCUUAUCAUAUCUCCAAGAAUAAACCUCAUUCCGUAUCACCGAGAUAAAAUAGUCACCUCGUUCAAGGGAUGGUGAUGGGACUUGAAUGAUCGAGUGGGUCUCCCUGAACUAAGACCGAGAUAAUUCCGUAAAAUCAACGAUAGCGCUUGAUACAUUGCAGUGAUUGAUGUGACUUGCUGACAUAUUAAUGACUCUUGUAUUUAUUUUUAUUUUUUAUUUUUACAACAGAAGGUGCGUAAUAAAAGAUGGAAAGGAUUAGAGCAGGCAGAGGAUAGUUAAAAAAAAAAAAAGGAAAGAAGAUAAUUGGACAAGAGAAGUAAAAUUAGAAGUAUUAAUUGGCGCUGGUGUUUAUUUAUUUUUGUUUCUUUUAUUUUUACAACAUAGAAGGUGGGUAAUAAAAGAUGCAAAGGAGAAUAGCAGGCAGAGGAUAGUUAAAAAAAAAAAAAAAGGAAAGAAGAUAAUUGGAGAAGAGUAGUAAGAUUAGAAGUAUUAAUUGGCGCUGGUGUUUAUUUAUUUUUGUUUCUCUUAUUUUUACAACAGAGAAGGUGCGUAAUAAAGGAUGCAAAGGAUUAGAGCAGGCAUAGGAUAGUUAAAAAAAAAGAAAGGAAAGAAGAUAAUUGGACAAGAGAAGUAAAAUUAGAAGUAUUAAUUGGCGCUGGUGUUUAUUUAUUUUUGUUUCUUUUAUUUUUACAACAGAGAAGGUGGGUAAUAAAAAUGCAGAGGAUAAUAGCAGGUAGAGGAUAGUUAAAAAAAAGUAUGAAAGAAAAACAUUGGACAAGAGAAGUAAAAUUAGAAGUAUUAAUUGGCGGUAGUAUUUAUUUAUUUUUAUUUAUUUUAUUUUUACAACAGAGAAGGUGCGUAAUAAAAGAUGGAAAGGAUUAGAGCAGGCAGAGGAUAGUUAAAAAAAAGAUAUUUUGAAAGGAAGUAAAAUAUAUUGGACGAGAGAAGUAAAAUUAAAAGUACUAAUUGACUCUAGUAUUUAUUUAUUUUUAUUUAUUUUAUUUUUACAACAGAGAAGGUGCGUAAUAAAAGAUGCAGAGGAUAAGAGCAGGUAGAGGAUAGUUAAAAAAAAUAUGAAAGGAAGAGAAAAAUAUUAGACGAGAAAAGUAAAAUUAUAAAUAUUAAUUGGCUUUCGUAUUUAUUUAUUUAUUUAUUUAUUUAUUUAUUUAUUUAUUACAACAGAGAAGGUGCGUAAUAAAAGACACAAAGGAUAAGAGCAGACAGAGAAUAGUUAAAAAAAAAAUAAUCAUGAAGGGAAGAAAAGGAGAAGGAAAGAAGAAAACAUUGGACAAGAAAAGGUAAAAACACACACACACACAAAAAAAGAAACCAAAGAAGAAAACGGGAAGAGAAAACACAGGUAAGAAAGAAAACGAUGUACAAAAAAAACAAAACAAAAAAACGAGAACACGGACACGGCACAGAAAGUAAAGUAAACAAGUAAGCAAAAGUAAAAAAGAAAAUAGAAAACAAAAAAAAGGUAAACAAAAUCUAAGAGGAAGAGGAGGUGUGUGGAAGCCAGCGUAUUGAGUGACUUGAUUCGUAUGGGUGAAAAAACGUGAUGAUAGAUGCUGUCCCUCACACUAACCCGUUAUCGUCCUAUUGAAGCCUCAGGAGGAGGUUUCAAUCUUCUUCACCCGUCCUAAGAGCGAUUCGAAUAAGUUUAAAGCGUGUUAGGGAGGUCACAGUUGUUUUUCUUUCUUUUAUUCCUUGUUUCUCUCUUACUUUCUUUUAUACCGUAUUCCGCUGUCUCUCUCUCUCUCUCUCUCUCUCUCUCUCUCUCUCUCACUUGGUUGUCUUAAUGAUGAUGUAAUCCUCCUCUUCCUCCUCCUCCUCCUCCUCCUCCUCCUCCUCCUCCUCCUCCUGUUUGUCAUUCUCAUCCUCGUUUGUUUCUUUUGACCACCAACUUCGCUUAUUUUUGUUAUUGUUUUUUUUUGUGUUUUUGUUUUUUUAUUUUUUAUUUCUGAACUUGCUGCUGCCGUUUCCAUUCCACGCAUUAUGCUCUCUC